AGAGACAGCAGUCGCCGCGGUAAUACGUAUGUCGCAAGCGUUAUCCGGAAUUAUUGGGCGUAAAGGGCUCGCAGGCGGUUUCUUAAGUCUGAUGUGAAAGCCCCCGGCUCAACCGGGGAGGGUCAUUGGAAACUGGGAAACUUGAGUGCAGAAGAGGAGAGUGGAAUUCCACGUGUAGCGGUGAAAUGCGUAGAGAUGUGGAGGAACACCAGUGGCGAAGGCGACUCUCUGGUCUGUAACUGACGCUGAGGAGCGAAAGCGUGGGGAGCGAACAGGAUUAGAUACCCCCGUAGUCCCUGUCUCUUAUAC
rnacentral:rRNA from 1 species